GAUGAACGCUGGCGGCGUGCCUAAUACAUGCAAGUCGAGCGAACGGACGAGAAGCUUGCUUCUCUGAUGUUAGCGGCGGACGGGUGAGUAACACGUGGAUAACCUACCUAUAAGACUGGGAUAACUUCGGGAAACCGGAGCUAAUACCGGAUAAUAUUUUGAACCGCAUGGUUCAAAAGUGAAAGACGGUCUUGCUGUCACUUAUAGAUGGAUCCGCGCUGCAUUAGCUAGUUGGUAAGGUAACGGCUUACCAAGGCAACGAUGCAUAGCCGACCUGAGAGGGGGAUCGGCCACACUGGAACUGAGACACGGUCCAGACUCCUACGGGAGGCAGCAGUAGGGAAGCUUCCGCAAUGGGCGAAAGCCUGACGGAGCAACGCCGCGUGAGUGAUGAAGGUCUUCGGAUCGUAAAACUCUGUUAUUAGGGAAGAACAUAUGUGUAAGUAACUGUGCACAUCUUGACGGUACCUAAUCAGAAAGCCACGGCUAACUACGUG
rnacentral:rRNA from 1 species